GAUGAACGCUGGCGGCGUGCCUAAUACAUGCAAGUCGAGCGAACGGACGAGAAGCUUGCUUCUCUGAUGUUAGCGGCGGACGGGUGAGUAACACGUGGAUAACCUACCUAUAAGACUGGGAUAACUUCGGGAAACCGGAGCUAAUACCGGAUAAUAUUUUGAACCGCAUGGUUCAAAAGUGAAAGACGGUCUUGCUGUCACUUAUAGAUGGAUCCGCGCUGCAUUAGCUGGUUGGUAAGGUAACGGCUUACCAAGGCAACGAUGCAUAGCCGACCUGAGAGGGUGAUCGGCCACACUGGAACUGAGACACGGUCCAGACUCCUACGGGAGGCAGCAGUAGGAAAUCUUCCGCAAUGGGCGAAAGCCUGACGGAGCAACGCCGCGUGAGUGAUGAAGGUCUUCGGAUCGUAAAACUCUGUUAUUAGGGAAGAACAUAUGUGUAAGUAACUGUGCACAUCUUGACGGUACCUAAUCAGAAAGCCACGGCUAACUACGUG
rnacentral:rRNA from 1 species